UCCAAAGGCUACAAAUCAAUUUUUUUUUUUUUGAUUGGUCAUUAUCUCAAUCACACAUCUCUAGCUCUUUCUUCCUAGAUCUGUCUCUUUUUUCUCAGAUCUUAAACUAAUAUUUUCUCCUCCUUUGAAUCUCUAUCUUCUUCAAUCACCACCAUCACACAUACUUUCUUUACAACUCCCCUUCACCACCACCACCACACGUCUUUUACUCACCUUCACCACCACCAAGAAGUAGAAGCAAGGCUCACCAUACACGACCUCCGUUCGUUCACUGUCCCAGAAUCACCACGACCACAUGACCUCCGUUCGUUCGCCGUCCCAGCAUCACCACCACCAUAACACCACGGAUGGAGGAGGCAAGCAGAAGGAGCUGACGGCUUCAGAUUCAAGACGGAGGUAGCCGCCGAAAACUGCCGUCAGUAAGGGCCACGAAAACGACACCCUUGAAUCAGAUGAUGGCGAGUUUGGCUUCGUCGCUGCGUCUCGAGGAGCAGUGGUGAGCGGUGUCUCUGUAUUUAAUUUUUAAGAUAUAUACACGAUAACAUGUAUAUAUGUGUGUAUUUGUUACGGUCGAAAACAUGUAUUUCUCUAGGGAAUUUAUUUUUUAGACUAUGCUAAUACCAAACACGUUAAAAUC